UUUCAUUACAAUGAAAGUAUAAUUGAAUCAGGUGGAUUCAACAUAGAAAAGUUUUAAUGAGACAAAUGUCAGGCAAGCAUAUCAACUUUAAAAAACAGAAAAUCUAAAAGUUUAAUUACAAAAACACUUGUACAGAAAACUUGGCAUUUCAACAGUUCCAAACACACAUAUACAAUUUUUUUCCCCUAAAAUUUGUCAGAAAUAAAACACUUGUCUCCGUUUCCUCAGUUGCUCCUUGUGUUUUAAAAGAAAGAAAUCUAUAACACUGAAUAGGCAACAGCUUAUUUCUUGAGAAGAACAUAUAAGUGCAGUAAUAUGUACAAAUUUACUGGGAAACAUGAAUUAGAUAUUGUGCUAGCCUGUAACCUCAUUUACCACCUCCUCUUAGAGCACAGAGAGGGAGGAGGUGGCACAGACCUGCUUUAUGGAACCGGACAGUUUUGUGGCAGCUGAAUUCCAGUCACCAGGGAGUCAGGAGGUGUGUAACUACUGGGAGAGCCAGCAUGUUUAAAAUGCUGAGAAAAUAAGAGAGGCUUAUUUUAUUAAACUAAGAGCUGCUUAUUUUGUGAAAAUGAUUGCAAACUGUAGGCUCUCUUGAGAUCUCAUGCACUGCUGAGUAUGCAAAUAUUUCAAGUCACUGUCAGGUGUCCCAUCUGACACCAGAGUCAGAAGAAUGAUAAUCUUUGUACCAAGUUAUAUCCUUUCCUGGUCACAAAAUCAGUGCUAACAAAGCUUCACAAAAUUGAACACAAAGGAGAAACAGAGAGAAAUAUUAGAAGGAGGGAAAGGACAGAAAGCCCCUGGCAGAAAGCAGACAAAAACUUCCAGAACCAGCUUGGAUGUCCUUCUGCCACAGACAGUGAGUUCUAGUUUGGACCUGGCAGGCAUGGAGUCUAAGAAAAGUGGAAGAAACAGCAGAUGAGAGCAAGAAAAUUGGAAAAUACAGGAAAAAAGCAGGAGACCGGUCUAGGUUUAUAGCAGUAGAUAAUGAUGGGUCUUAUUCUAAAAAAUUGCCAAGAGGUGGUAAGUGAGAUUCAGUGCAUGAGAAUUUGAUGUGUUCACAUAAGGUAUUAAAAAAAUUGUUUUGUUGUUGUUAUCCUUUGGACUACUAAAGAAAACAAGUAAGGAGAUGCUGAGAAGAUAUGAUGGUGCAGCAACAUGACAGGGAGUUUCUGCCUUGCACCCUGGUUGAUGAGCAUAUUGUGAGAGGGGCCAUACUUCCAUUCACCUGCCUUCAGUGGCGUGGUGCCUGGACAAUGAGCUCAGCAUGCUCUGCUUUGGUUCCAAAGAUCUCAGCUGCAACCUUCAGCCCUGUGCUCUAGGGCAUCAAAAACAAACAAACAAAAAACAGCAAAAAAAAACCCUGAGGUGAAGAAUCAGAAUCUUGCUUCCCCUUGCUGUUAAAGGAACCAGAAACCCCUCUUUGCUUUUGCUGUUU